CUAAUUUCUUGUAGCACAACCGCACCUUGACAAUUACACAAUCUACACUCAUAGACACAGCACACACUUGUAUAUGGCAGGAAACUUGGCCUCCAUGAGAUUGCCAAAGCUGCGAUCAUGGCAAAGGUGUUCAAGGAUGGUCCGAGAGCAGAGAACGCGUCUGUACAUCAUUUGGAGGUGUACAGUGAUUCUCCUACGCUGGGAUGAGUGAAUUUUUUAUAGUGAAAACCAGUGUUGCUAGCGAGGUCUCAGUCUUGAGAACUUGGUUUGAUCCUUUUUGUUUUGUGGCAAAGGUUUAAUGGUCAGUAAAGCAGCUGAUCUUGUGUAAUUAGCAGCUGAUUAUCUUGUGUAGUCAUCAGGGUUUCAACUUGAUGAUAAGUCCAAGGAUGAAUUAGGAUGGAGAUAAGAAAUGGGUUAAUGAGAUCGUGUGUGUUGUAUUUGAUAAAUUUUAUAUUUUUUUAAAUAGUAUUUUAGUUAAAAUUUAGACAAGUACGGAAAUAUAUUGUAAAUUAGGAAAUUGUUAGAAGUGGGACGAUGAUGGUUUAAUAUGAGUAAUAAUAAAGGAAGGGAUUUCAUCAGAUGAAAAGGUAUUAUAUUGAAAAUUGUCAUGGAUUUUGGGUUAAUAAUAUUGGG
rnacentral:lncRNA from 1 species